rnacentral:lncRNA from 1 species
CAAAACAGGAAACUCAAAAACGCAUUCACUUCGAACCCUAAAUUCAACUCUUAUCUCUCAACACCGCCACCACUCAACCAUCAACUCCAUGCCACCUAUGGAGGGUCAAAACACCACUUCCGGCCACCAUAGCCACCGGAUCAUAGUACCAACUUGAAGCCCGCAAUGUUGUCUACAAACCCACCCAACAGUUGGCCCUAAUUCCGGCUAUUCUGGCUGAAAAUUUUGCUCAAAAUCAGCCAGUCGACCACCGAAAUUAACCACCGCCGCACCACAAUUUCUGCUCAAAAUCAACCACCACGACACAACCAUCAACCUAAAUCAACCGCACUGCCACCUAAAUCAACACCAAAAAUCAACCAAAAACCAACACCCAAAUCAACACCACCACUGAGAAAUGUAGAAUCCAAAAUCAACAAAAAUCAACGCCUACUUUGCCUCCACCCCAAACCGUAGUCACCGUCGAAGAGAGAGGAGAUGGAGACAGGCGAACGAAUCUGUCUCGACGCUGCUUUGAACUGUCGCGACUCUAUUGUUCACAGCAGCGUCGCCUCCCCACGCCGGCUCCGGCAUCGGCACUCACCUUCAUCGCCUCCCAACGCUCAGCCGACGUCCAGAAGAAGAGGAGAAACAGUGGGUUGAAGGAAAAUAGAAAGGGAUACGGAAGAGAGAAAGGGAUACGGUUUUAAAGGAUUUCUCUCUCCUGUUUUGUGCAUUUUCAAUCUUUUUUGGAUUUUGUACAGAAAACAUCAAAAGUAUCAAUUUUGACGUUUUGUGUUUUCUUUACAAUUUUUUUUUUCGAAAAUUCGUUUUGGAAAACGGAGAAGAGAACGAUUUUUCACUAUUUUCAAAAAUCGAAAAUAGAAAAUGGAUUAAAAACAGUAAAGAGAACGCAGCCUAAAGGUUUAGGGUUAAAUAUUUUGAGUUUAGGGUUCUAAUUUUAAGGUUUUUUAGGG